GACGAACGCUGGCGGCGUGCUUAACACAUGCAAGUCGAACGGAAAGGCCCUGCUCUUGCGGGGUUCUCGAGUGGCGAACGGGUGAGUGACACGUGAGGAACCUGCCCUUGUCUUUGUGAGAACUCUAGGGAACUGGGGCUAAUACCGGAGAGGAGCUCCUGCUGCAUGGUGGGGGUUGGUAAGUGUCGGCCGUUGUGGAUGUACUCGAUGGUUAUGGGCUGGUUGGUCGGGUAGUGGCUUACCAGGGCUUUGACGGGUAGGCGGCCUGGGAGGGUGACCGGCGACCUUGGGACUGCGAGACGGCCCAGACGCCUACGGGCGGCAGCAGUGGGGAAUCUUGCGCAACGGGCCGGCGCCUGAUGCGGCAACGUCGCGUGCGUGAUGACGGCCUUCGGGUUGUAAACCGCUUUCGAAUGUGCCGAAGAGUGAGUGACGGUACUGGGUAAAGAAGCACCGGCUAACUACGUG
rnacentral:rRNA from 1 species